rnacentral:rRNA from 1 species
CCGAAUUCGUCGACAACAGAGUUUGAUCAUGGCUCAGAUUGAACGCUGGCGGCAGGCCUAACACAUGCAAGUCGAACGGUAACAGAAAGCAGCUUGCUGCUUUGCUGACGAGUGGCGGACGGGUGAGUAAUGUCUGGGAAACUGCCUGAUGGAGGGGGAUAACUACUGGAAACGGUAGCUAAUACCGCAUAACGUCGCAAGACCAAAGAGGGGGACCUUCGGGCCUCUUGCCAUCGGAUGUGCCCAGAUGGGAUUAGCUUGUUGGUGGGGUAACGGCUCACCAAGGCGACGAUCCCUAGCUGGUCUGAGAGGAUGACCAGCCACACUGGAACUGAGACACGGUCCAGACUCCUACGGGAGGCAGCAGUGGGGAAUAUUGCACAAUGGGCGCAAGCCUGAUGCAGCCAUGCCGCGUGUAUGAAGAAGGCCUUCGGGUUGUAAAGUACUUUCAGCGGGGAGGAAGGGAGUAAAGUUAAUACCUUUGCUCAUUGACGUUACCCGCAGAAGAAGCACCGGCUAACUCCGUGCCAGCAGCCGCGGUAAUACGGAGGGUGCAAGCGUUAAUCGGAAUUACUGGGCGUAAAGCGCACGCAGGCGGUUUGUUAAGUCAGAUGUGAAAUCCCCGGGCUCAACCUGGGAACUGCAUCUGAUACUGGCAAGCUUGAGUCUCGUAGAGGGGGGUAGAAUUCCAGGUGUAGCGGUGAAAUGCGUAGAGAUCUGGAGGAAUACCGGUGGCGAAGGCGGCCCCCUGGACGAAGACUGACGCUCAGGUGCGAAAGCGUGGGGAGCAAACAGGAUUAGAUACCCUGGUAGUCCACGCCGUAAACGAUGUCGACUUGGAGGUUGUGCCCUUGAGGCGUGGCUUCCGGAGCUAACGCGUUAAGUCGACCGCCUGGGGAGUACGGCCGCAAGGUUAAAACUCAAAUGAAUUGACGGGGGCCCGCACAAGCGGUGGAGCAUGUGGUUUAAUUCGAUGCAACGCGAAGAACCUUACCUGGUCUUGACAUCCACAGAACUUUCCAGAGAUGGAUUGGUGCCUUCGGGAACUGUGAGACAGGUGCUGCAUGGCUGUCGUCAGCUCGUGUUGUGAAAUGUUGGGUUAAGUCCCGCAACGAGCGCAACCCUUAUCCUUUGUUGCCAGCGGUCCGGCCGGGAACUCAAAGGAGACUGCCAGUGAUAAACUGGAGGAAGGUGGGGAUGACGUCAAGUCAUCAUGGCCCUUACGACCAGGGCUACACACGUGCUACAAUGGCGCAUACAAAGAGAAGCGACCUCGCGAGAGCAAGCGGACCUCAUAAAGUGCGUCGUAGUCCGGAUUGGAGUCUGCAACUCGACUCCAUGAAGUCGGAAUCGCUAGUAAUCGUGGAUCAGAAUGCCACGGUGAAUACGUUCCCGGGCCUUGUACACACCGCCCGUCACACCAUGGGAGUGGGUUGCAAAAGAAGUAGGUAGCUUAACCUUCGGGAGGGCGCUUACCACUUUGUGAUUCAUGACUGGGGUGAAGUCGUAACAAGGUAACCGUAAGCUUGGAUCCCGGG